CUCCCUCGUUGCUGACCCCAGGUUCGAUAGUGCCAAUGAGGCACCAUCUCGCCAAGAACCAACUUCGAUGAAGCGACGGGCGGUGUGUG
rnacentral:rRNA from 1 species